UACGAAGGGGGCUAGCGUUGUUCGGAUUUACUGGGCCGUAAAGCGCAUCGGUAGGCGGAUCGAUCAGUCAGGGGUGAAAUCCCAGAGCUCAACUCUCGGAACUGCCCUUUUGAUACUGUCGAUCUGGAGUAUGGAAGAGGUGAGUGGAAUUCCGAGUGUAGAGGUGAAAUUCGUAGAUAUUCGGAGGAACACCAGUGGCGAAGGCGGCUCACUGGACCGGAACUGACGCUGAGGCGCGAAAGCGUGGGGAGCAAACAGG
rnacentral:rRNA from 1 species